AAAGAAAAAGGGUGAAAAGAACAAAGUUUUGUCCAUCUUUGUUCAUCAUAGCUGAAAGUUAGAGAAGAGAAAGGAGAGGAGAAAACUCUUGAGUAUUCGGUCAUUAGGAGGAGGAAAAUUGAAGGAAAUCCCCAACCAUAGUGGGCUUGGAGCUGUGAGGGAAUUCGGAGUGGCCACCCGUUCUGAAAGUUUGAUUUUCUUCUGGUGAAUUGGACAUCCUUUUAUUUACGUUUGAAGUUUUGGGUUUUUAAAUGUAAUAAGGCCGCUUAAUUAUUUUUUAUGGUUUUAAUAUGUAUUACUAAGAUAGGUAAUACUUAUUUUAACUGUUGAAUUUGGAUA